GACUGGUUAGAGCCAAGAC
rnacentral:piRNA from 1 species